GACCAGGGUUGGGGAGGCCGGGUGUUCUCGCUGGGGUGGAGGAGCAGGUGAGGGCCGGGAGGCCGACGGUGGGGGAGCAGCGAGGCCGUCGGAUGGAGCCGCGAGGCCCGAACUCUAGGCGUCGUACACAUUGCAGGAUGGAGAAGAGGUCGGUGUGGGGCCCAAGGAGCAGCGGGGCAAGAACAGUGGGGGUGGGGCUUUCAUCUCCUCUGUUCUAAUCGCGACUCCUGCGACCUCGUCACCGGUGCUCGCUCGACUGGCAUAUGGGGCGGCGGCCGGGACGUUGGCCCUCCGCACGAACUCGAAGCCGAGUCUAGCUGACGAGCCCCGUGCGAUUGUGUGAAGCAAGUAUACGUGGCGAUGUAGGCCGUCGGGUAGUGUAGCAGCCUGCACACACGACAUGAGCAGCAGCCAGGUCCAUGGGCGUUGCUUGUGGAGCAGCGGUCAAGUCACGGUGUGCCAUCAAUUGAGAAAAUAACUUUCCUUCUUGUGAGAUAUCAAACAAUACAUGUCCUACAAAUCCGAGAUUCAAGCAGCCUUGUUGAGGUACGAAGAAUUGGUGCAUUUUGUCGGAAGAUGACGAGCUAUGUCUUCAUUCACAUGGCCAGGCUGCACAAUGGAGUUCUUUUCUUCCCGGUAUCAAGCAACGGUUGCUAUCAUUUAUUUUCCACAGGACUUGGAAUGAGGAACCUGAACAGGCUUUGCUUACCUACUUAGCUAUCUUGCACGCCAUUCAUUCAUUAGCUAUGUGAUCUUGAUCUGUGAUUUGCAUUCAUACUUGAUUGGUUAUUCCCAGAUUGAUCUCAAUAUUUUUGAAUGCUCAAGCCAAUUACGAUGCUUAAAAUCAUCUCUAACUUAUUGCAUUCAUUACUGAAAUUUUCACACUCCCUAUCAUUAUUAUGUAUAGUGAAUCUUGCAUCUUUUGAAUUGUUGAAACAAACUUAUGCUUAAUUGCUUACGCCCAUUUCUUUCUUCGUCGUGUGGUCUUUGUUGUGAAUGAAAAAUGCUUUGUCUCGACUUGUUUGAAUUAGUAAUUUUGAUUUGCAAAGAGUCCAACAUCUGCGGAAGAAAUUUUAUUUUCACUUUGAAGACUAUGUGGAUCUUAUCAUAUAGAAGGUACCUAAUAUAUAUACAUUCAAGACUAGCUUUAUUGAAUCACAAUAGCAUUGUGGAAACAUAGUUUGUUGGUUCUGAACUUUUGCGGCACAUAAAUUUUAGCUUUCAGGAAUUAUGAUAUUGGCCAUUUCCACUAAACAAUAGAAGGGCACAUGUAAGGACAUAUAGAAACUGAAGUUAACGUAAUCCCAUAGGAUAUAGUGUGAGAAUAGUACACCGAUUUAGUGAGGCAAGUAGUGGCUUGUUUUGCCAUCCCUGUGAUGAAAGUUACUUUAGGUAAUCUUGGUAUAGAAUCAUUUCCUUAAAUUGUAACUUAGGGUCAGACGGGGAUUGUUAUUUCACCUGAAUAUUUUAUUAUGCUUCUAAGUUAUGGAAAUAGAUAGAGUAAGAGGAAAUGGGGUGUUGUUAGGUGGGACCUUGCCACAGUUGCCUUGGUUUUUUGCAUGGAAGCUCGACUCUCUAUGGCUAGCCUUCCAUGGUUAGAUCGAGGGUCCCAAGCUGCAGGUGAGCUCUUCUUUUCACCUGCAGGUUAUGAGUUAUCUCCACCUCAAUGAGAUUUAGUUUGCACACUAACGACUAUAGGUUGCGUAAUGUUUGGAGUGGUCUUCUUCCAUAUUUCUCCAGUUCAGUCAUGUAUUUCUUUGCGGCCAUUUUCGCUUCAAUAUUCCCUUAUUCUCACAUGUUGGUUGCGACUUCUUUGUUUAUGUUGGGCUAUUCUGUGAACUGCCAUCAUAACAGCUUGCUGAAAAUAGUGUUGUCGGAUGGUAGCCAUUAUUGGUACAACUUAAGUGCUUAUCAGUUAACUUAUUUGAGCUCUACGGGGCAGCCAAAUGAUUAUUGGGUGAUUUAUUUGCAGUAAAUUAUAGUGUUACUUUGAUUGAUUCUAGGAUGUGCUUGAGCAUAACUUUGCCACUUCUCGGAUUAAUCUAUUCAGUAGUAGAAUGUUGGAAUAAAGUAUUAGACAGAUAAUUAGUUCAUCCAAGCCUCCACUUGCUCCCAUUUCCUGCAAGUUCAUAUGCAAUCAGGAACAACCAUGGGAAAUCUUUGGUUUACUGUUUUUUCUCUGGAUUCCUACCAGUGCCUAGCGUCGGUGUUAUUUAGAGUUUUCGAUAAUUUAUUCAGUGGAGCUAAAUUGUGCCUUUCAUCCCAUGUUCUUGUGUGACAAUAAAGUAUGGUACAAAAGAUAAUUAAAUUAACAAAAAGAUUGUGGUGGCCAUUUAGUUCAAAAUGCACCAAUUCCUACAUAGACAACCAGUUGACUAGACUAUGUGCUAGAAUUUAGUUCAAAAUUCACCAGUUCUUACAUGGACAACCAUUUGACUGAACUAUGUGGGAGAACUUAGGUUUCCUUCAUGGUACUGAAUGACAGCCUAAUGAUGUGAUUCCAGGAAGGGAAGGAUGUGGCCGCAAAGGCCAAGACUGGUUCUAGAAAGACCUUUGCCUACCUUCUCCCACUGUUGCAAGAGCUGCUGAAGUUGUGCAAAGAAGGGCGUAUUCAGAAAUCUACACCAAAUGACUUAAUCCUGGUGCCAACUCGCGACUUAUGCUAGCAGGGCUUAAUGGCGGCGCCAACUUGAGAAACUCAUGUAGGAUUAAUAGAACCAACGCCAAUGCCGCUUCUAUUAGACAAUGAUAUGCUAAACACACAACCAAAUGGUCCUAUUUUCUAAGGAUAAAUAGUUGAUGAUUCAGUUUCUUGGCUAUGGAAGCUACACACCUAUUCUGAGAAAAAUAAAGGCAUCCUUCACAACAGUGUUUUUCUUCUCAGUUUAUGAAACCUCAAACAAUAGUGAGAUAUAACCGUUUAGUUUAUUUUUCAAUCAAAGCUUCCAUUGAAUCAUUUAUUAGAAUUGUGCUCCAGCUAAUUCAGAAACUAUGUGAUUUAUAAAUCCAGUCUAGUAUUCAUUGGUGCCAUGUUGGAAUUCUUCUAUAGAUGUUCCCAAAUGGCUAUUCGUACAUUCAUACAAGAUAAGGCUUUGUGUGCAUUGAAAUCACAGCGACCUUGGCCCCCUUGUCUUAUUUCUUUGUACAUUUGACUCAUACAUGCAACCAACAUGUCCAUGCGAUCUAAAUGAAUUUUCCAUAUCCAGUUUUUUGUUGUGAUGUCUUUGAUUUUUGUCUCUCUUCUAGAUUUACAUAGAGAAACCUGGUCAGUACUGAAGAAUUUUGUGUUCUUUCCUAUUGAUGGCCUUUAGGUAUUUUUUUAUGGGACAAUUCCAUUACUCGCCCUAACUUGAACCCACACCUGGCAUUUACCCCUAAAUUUCAAGUAUGCUCAAAAAUACCCCUGCGCUGUUAGGUGGUGUUAUAGAAAUACCCGUGAGCGUCGUUUUUGUUAGGUCAAAGGGGUUUGACCAUGUGAUUUGUCCAAAAUGCCCCUGGAUGGUACUAGUCCACAUUCGGUAAAGAAAAAAAACUAAGUCAAAGUUAGACUAAUCAAUGGAGACAAGUCAAAUUUGGUUUUGGAGGCCCACAUGUCAUUCUCUCUUUAAGGUUUUUAUAACUGUUUUAUAGUUAGUAAAGGGCCCAUGAGUCAGUGGAACACAUAACUGGAGGGUUAGCCUAAAUCGCUU